UACGUAGGCAGCGAGCGUUGUUCGGAGUUACUGGGCGUAAAGGGUGCGUAGGCGGUUGUUUAAGUUUGGUGUGAAAUCUCCCGGCUCAACUGGGAGGGUGCGCCGAAUACUGAAUGACUAGAGUGCGGGAGAGGAUAGUGGAAUUCCUGGUGUAGCGGUGAAAUGCGUAGAUAUCAGGAGGAACACCUGUGGCGAAAGCGGCUCACUGGACCAUAACUGACGCUGAUGCACGAAAGCUGGGGGGAGCAAACAGG
rnacentral:rRNA from 1 species